rnacentral:rRNA from 1 species
AGCGUACACAUGCAGUCGAGCGGUACAUUUCUAGCUUGGUUAAAUAUGAUGAGCGGGGGACGGGUGAGUAAUGCUUGUGAACAUGUCUUGAGGUGGGGGACACAGUUGUAAACGACUGUUAUUACCGCAUAUUGUGUACGGACCACAGGGGGCUUCUCCUCUCGCCUUUAUAUUGUGCCACGUGGGAUUAUUAUAUAUGUGGAGAUAAUGUGUCACCAAGGCGACGAUACCUAUAUGUGUUGAGAGAAUGAGCAGCCACACUGUGACUGAGACACGGGCCACACUCCUACAGGAGGCAGCAGUGGGGAAUAUAGCGCAAUGGGCGCAAGCCUGAGGCGCCCAUGCCGCGUGUGUGAAAAAAGCCUUCUCGUUGUGAAGCACUUUCUCUCACGAGGAAAGGUUAUAAGAUAAUACAUGCGAUAUGUGACGUUACUGAGAGAAAAAACACCGCGUAUAUCCGUGCGAGCAGCCGCGCUAAUACGCAGGGUGCGAGAGUGAAUCGCAAUUACUGUGCGUAUAGCGUACGCACGCGGGUUGUGAAGCGAGAUGUGAGAGCCCCGCGCUCAUCCUGUGAACUGUGUUUCUAACUGUGAAACUAUAGUGUGAGAUAGAGUGUAUAAUUUCACGUGUAUAGCUGAGAUGCGUAUAGAUAUGAGAGAAUACAGAUGGCGAAAGCAGCCACCUGUGUCUACACUGACGCUCAUGUGCGAAAGCGUGUGGAGAAACAGGAUUAUAUACCCUGUGAUACCACGCCGUAUACGAUGUGUACUAUAAACUCGCAACCUCUCGUCUGUGUUUUAAGCUAUCGCAUUAUGUAUACCGCCUGUGGAGUACAGCCGCACGGUGAAACUCUCAUGAUUUACGGGGGCCCCACAACGCGGAGCAUGUGGGUUAUUCUAUGCACGCGAGAACCUUAUCUACACUUUCAUAUAGAGACUAUCACAGAUAUUUUGUGCGUCUCGACUCUGAACAGUGUGCAUGGUGUGUCACUCUGUGUGAAAGUUGUGUUAAUCCCCACGAGGCACCCUAU